rnacentral:rRNA from 1 species
UUCCAAGCGAGCCCGGAGAUAGCUGGUUCUCCCCGAAAUAGCUUUAGGGCUAGCCGCAAGGUGAGAGAUACGGAGGUAGAGCACUGAAUGUCCUAGGGGGUAUUGCACCUACCGAAGACUAUCAAACGCCGAAUGCCGUCAUCUUAUACUUGGGAGUCAGACUGUGGGUGAUAAGAUUCAUAGUCGAAAGGGCAACAGCCCAGAUCGUCAGCUAAGGUCCCUAAAUGUAAGUUAAGUGGUAAAGGAUGUGGGAUUGCACAGACAACCAGGAUGUUGGCUUAGAAGCAGCCACUCAUUCAAAGAGUGCGUAAUAGCUCACUGGUCGAGUGAUCC